UACGGGGGGGGCAAGCGUUGUUCGGAAUUACUGGGCGUAAAGGGCUGGUAGGCGGCCAACUAAGUCGGAUGUGAAAUCCCCAGGCUUAACCUGGGAACUGCAUCCGAUACUGGUUGGCUUGAAUCCGGGAGAGGGAUGCAGAACUCCAGGUGUAGCGGUGAAAUGCGUAGAUACCUGGAGGAAUACCGGUGGCGAAGGCGGCAUCCUGGACCGGCAUUGACGCUGAACAGCGAAAGCUAGGGGAGCAAACGGG
rnacentral:rRNA from 1 species